UACGGGGGGGGCAAGCGUUGUUCGGAAUUACUGGGCGUAAAGGGCUCGUAGGCGGCCAACUAAGUCGGAUGUGAAAUCCCCAGGCUUAACCUGGGAACUGCAUCCGAUACUGGAUGGCUUGAAUCCGGGAGAGGGAUGCGGAAUUCCUGGUGUAGCGGUGAAAUGCGCAGAUAUCAGGAGGAACACCGGUGGCGAAGGCGGGUCUCUGGGCCGAUACUGACGCUGAGGAGCGAAAGCGUGGGGAGCGAUCAGG
rnacentral:rRNA from 1 species